rnacentral:tRNA from 1 species
AUUUAAAUAGCUUAUUUAGAGCAUAACAUUGAAGCUGUUAAGGAAAUUAAUAUUUUUAAAUA